GACGAACGCUGGCGGCGUGCUUAACACAUGCAAGUCGAACGGAAAGGCCCUGCUUUUGUGGGGUGCUCGAGUGGCGAACGGGUGAGUAACACGUGAGUAACCUGCCCUUGACUUUGGGAUAACUUCAGGAAACUGGGGCUAAUACCGGAUAGGAGCUCCUGCUGCAUGGUGGGGGUUGGAAAGUUUCGGCGGUUGGGGAUGGACUAGCGGCUUAUCAGCUUGUUGGUGGGGUAGUGGCUUACCAAGGCUUUGACGGGUAGCCGGCCUGAGAGGGUGACCGGCGACAUUGGGACUGAGAUACGGACCAGAAUCCUACGGGAGGCAGCAGUCGGGAAUAUUGCACAAUGGGCGGAAGCCUGAUGCAGAAACGCCGCGUGCGGGAUGACGGCCUUCGGGUUGUAAACAGAUUUCGACUGUGACGAAGCGUGCGUGACGGUAAUGGGUAAAGAAGCACCGGCUAACUACGUG
rnacentral:rRNA from 1 species